rnacentral:tRNA from 1 species
UGGGGCGUAGCCAAGCGGUAAGGCAGAGGAUUUUGAUUCCUCCAUCCCCAGGUUCGAAUCCUGGCGCCCCAGCCA